rnacentral:misc_RNA from 1 species
UCUCCGUUGGUGAACCAGCGGAGGGAUCAUUACCGAGUUUACAACUCCCAAACCCAAUGUGAACCAUACCAAACUGUUGCCUCGGCGGGGUCACGCCCCGGGUGCGUCGCAGCCCCGGAACCAGGCGCCCGCCGGAGGGACCAACCAAACUCUUUCUGUAGUCCCCUCGCGGACGUUAUUUUUACAGCUCUGAGCAAAAAUUCAAAAUGAAUCAAAACUUUCAAUAACGGAUCUCUUGGUUCUG